rnacentral:rRNA from 2 species
GUCGUAACAAGGUAUCCCUACCGGAAGGUGGGGAUGGAUCACCUCCUUUCUA